rnacentral:rRNA from 1 species
AUUGAACGCUGGCGGAAUGCUUUACACAUGCAAGUCGAACGGCAGCACGGGGCAACCUGGUGGCGAGUGGCGAACGGGUGAGUAAUACAUCGGAACGUGCCCAAUCGUGGGGGAUAACGUAGCGAAAGUUACGCUAAUACCGCAUACGAUCUACGGAUGAAAGCGGGGGAUCGCAAGACCUCGCGCGAAUGGAGCGGCCGAUGUCAGAUUAGGUAGUUGGUGGGGUAAAGGCUCACCAAGCCAACGAUCUGUAGCUGGUCUGAGAGGACGACCAGCCACACUGGAACUGAGACACGGUCCAGACUCCUACGGGAGGCAGCAGUGGGGAAUUUUGGACAAUGGGCGCAAGCCUGAUCCAGCCAUUCCGCGUGCAGGAUGAAGGCCUUCGGGUUGUAAACUGCUUUUGUACGGAACGAAAAGGUCCUGGUUAAUACCUGGGGCUCAUGACGGUACCGUAAGAAUAAGCACCGGCUAACUACGUGCCAGCAGCCGCGGUAAGUACG